rnacentral:tRNA from 1 species
GAAGAUAAAGCUCAAGUGGUAGAGCACAUGCCUAGCAUGCACAAGGUCCUGGGUUCAAUCCCCAGUGCCCCCU